rnacentral:lncRNA from 1 species
AAGAUUCCUGACUUGGGGGUGUUGUUGACUAACUCCCACAGUUGACCCUGAACCGGGUGUCAAUGUUUCCUAGAAUGUAGGUCAUCGUUCUCCUUUCUUAACUUGGUCUUAGGUGCUGUCCCUGCAAAGAAUCUCUCUUUUCACUGCUCUUCUGUGUCCAGGGGGAUAUUUUUUUUUCAUAAGACCUGCCUGUGAUGUUUCUCUGCCGUGAAUCAUGUCUAUAUCCUCACAAAGGAUAAAAACCAAAGCCACUAGAGCAGAGUCUUUGGAUUUUUCUGAAUAUGGAAAGCAGCCAUGCAUUACAUUGAAGCAUAUUCCAACGUCAGGGAACAGAGCACUGCUUCCUGUCCAUGUCACCGCAAAUUCUGUGCUGAGUGUUACUGCGCCAAAGGACAUGUUAGGAUGCCACAACGGUUCUCAUCUGGUCCGUGAUACUCACAGGCUGAUGUAGUACACUAGAAAGGGAGGGCUCUUUCCAAGUUACAGAACUUAUUUUGCAAUAUUUCCUGGGAAAGAAUUCUGCUACAAGUUUUAAUCAAUGUAAGAAAUGCUGUAACUACAUUAAAGUAAACUGUACAUGAAGCAGUGUGUGUCUGUGUGGUAGGGAAGAAUUCUGUCGAAAAUAAGAUCUGUUCCAUGUAGUACCGUGAAAAUCCAAAAUGCACCAGCAGCCCCUGAACCAAGUG